GCCUCUGUGGCUUAGUGGUAGAGCUAUUGAUUCGUAAUCAAUUGAUUUUUUAAUUCAAUCAAUCAGGUGAUUCGGUCGGGGGUUCAAUUCCCCCCAGAGGCU
rnacentral:tRNA from 1 species